GAUGAACGCUGGCGGCGUGCCUAAUACAUGCAAGUCGAGCGAACAGUCGAGGAGCUUGCUCCUCUGACGUUAGCGGCGGACGGGUGAGUAACACGUGGAUAACCUACCUAUAAGACUGGGAUAACUUCGGGAAACCGGAGCUAAUACCGGAUAAUAUAUUGAACCGCAUGGUUCAAUAGUGAAAGACGGUUUUGCUGUCACUUAUAGAUGGAUCCGCGCCGCAUUAGCUAGUUGGUAAGGUAACGGCUUACCAAGGCAACGAUGCGUAGCCGACCUGAGAGGGUGAUCGGCCACACGGGAACUGAGACACGGUCCAGACUCCUAGGGGAGGCAGCAGUAGGGAAUCUUCCGAAAUGGGCGAAAGCCUGACGGAGCAACGCCGCGUGAGUGAUGAAGGUCUUCGGAUCGUAAAACUCUGUUAUUAGGGAAGAACAAAUGUGUAAGUAACUAUGCACGUCUUGACGGUACCUAAGCAGAAAGCCACGGCUAACUACGU
rnacentral:rRNA from 1 species